AGCGAUUCUCCUGCCUCAGCCUCCAGAGUAGCUGGGAUUACAGGCACCCGCCACCAUGACCAGUCUCUCCUCCACGAUGGCAGCCCUCAUCUGCUCAUCCUCACUUGGCCUUCAGCAGUGCUCAGCUGACAUAGAUGAGGGAAUAGGAGUGACUCGUCAUCACAGUCGCCGUGUACUCGAGACAAACGCUCAGGGGGAUGCCAGUUCCCAUAGGACUCGCACCGGGAGACACAGCGGAGCGUCCAGUGCUUCCUCGGCUAGCCGUGUCCCACGAUGGCAGAGAUGGGAUCUUUCUACGUCACCCAGGCUGGAGUGCAGUGGUUAUUCACAGGUGUGAUCA